UGAGGAAAAUGGUCUUGCUCUCUCUAUAUUUUUUCCUCCCCCCCACCCCAGUAUUUCCAGCAGCAGUGGAAAUGCAGAGUAAUAGAAAGUGCCAGCGAGAUCAAAACUGAUGCAUGCCUUUCCUCCCCCUCUGAAAUUAAAGGAGUUUUACCUUUCUAUGAUGAUUUAAUUUGGGUCCCUGUGAUUUGAGAAACUAAGCAUUUUGGCAAAUAUUUUUUCAUUAUUAAUGGCCAUGUUGCAGAAGAACUCUUUUAUUUCCUUACAUUUGGAAGCACCAAAAAUUAUAGAUCUGGUUGUUUCUCAGAAAACUGUGAAAAGAGUGUGGAUAUAAAGCCUAAUUUUGUAGUGACUUAGAAGGAAUCAAGUUAUUACACUGCUGCAGAUGCUGUUUGAUCCAUUAGUGUUUUCAGAAAUUUGAGAUCAAGGGAAAGUAUUUUUCUUUAACUUGGACAGAAAUUCACCCCUAAAGAAGGGGCAUGCAGGAGGCCAGGGCAGGUCUCUGCUAAUGGGGAUGAUUUUGACUUGGCAAACUAACGCUGCCUUCCUUAUUCCCAGGUGUGGUUUGGGCAACAAGAUGAGCCAGGGAUAAUCCUUGCAAGAGAUUGUGCCUGUGGCCACCCCUGUUUCAGAGAGCACAAGAACUCAGCAAUGUGAAUGUGAGAUAUUCCACGCCUGUUUGCCUCGGUGCCAGAGAACAAUCUCAGGCUCAUUUAAUGGACUCAAAUAAUUGUAGGCCCUGUGUCCCAACAAAGUGCUGAGCAAAUGGUGGAAUUUACCCAUUCUGGAUUUUUCAGCCCCAGCAAGGCAAUGAACAGCAGCAGCAUACCUGGUGAAUAUUUUACAAUGCAGGUCUUUGGAAGUACCUCUGGCUCUUGACUGCACCUACAGUGGUUGUAGUAAGGGACAGUAAAAACAACCUUAGUCAGGAAAAAGUACAGCAAAUGGGACUGGGGUUCAAUAUUGUAUUUAACUGGGAAGAUAAUUUUACUCUCCAGGCUGGACUGGGGUGAGAGAAACAUGGAUUGCUACCCGGCUGCAUUAUUGACUCUCAGGGUGACUUUGAGCCAAAUACUUCUGUUUUCAGAAGUAUAUGAAACCAUAUUAUUGGUUUGCUUAGGUGGAAAGGUAGGAUAGCCAGAAAACAGGUCUACUCUUCUGGAGCUCUGGGUAAUAAAAUUGUAUUUCCCAUACGGGUCUUGAUGCAAUGCCAGCUGGUCUAAUUAAACUGAUCUUGAAAAAUAUUUAACUUAAUGUUUGGAGCCUGAUCUGACAUUCCUUGCCUUGUCUGUCUUAAAUUUGUUGGAAAAAAAACCUGCAAAAAAUAAAAAC
rnacentral:lncRNA from 1 species